rnacentral:rRNA from 1 species
ACGCGUGGUAAUGCGCGCGGUACUCCCGUCUGAAACACAUAGGACGGGUAGAGGUAAGCCGGGGAAGUGACACAUCUCAGUAACCCGGAGGAAAGAAAAGAAAACUCGACUCCCUGAGUAGUGGCGAGCGAAAGGGGAUCAGCCCAAACCGACGUGAGUGUUAGUUGCCUGCGGGCUCAGCUCACGCGGGGUUGUAGGAACAGCAUGGUCGUUCCGCAGAGCGACCGGGGAGUUACAAAGGAACGGGGUAGCCGAGCGGCUUGGAACGGCCGGCUACAAAGGGUAAGAGCCCUGUAGGCGAAACCCUGCUCCCUCCCUCGCUGUCUCCUGAGUACGACCGGACACGUGAAACCCGGUCGGAAUCUACGGGGGACCAUCCCGUAAGGCUAAGUACACGCUGGCGACCGAUAGUGAACUAGUACCGUGAGGG